rnacentral:rRNA from 1 species
UACGGGAGGCAGCAGUGGGGAAUCUUGCACAAUGGGGGCAACCCUGAUGCAGCGACGCCGCGUGAGCGAUGAAGCCCUUCGGGGUGUAAAGCUCUUUCGGCAGGGACGAUAAUGACGGUACCUGCAGAAGCAGCUGCGGCUAACUACGUGCCAGCAGCCGCGGUAAUACGUAGGCAGCGAGCGUUGUUCGGAGUUACUGGGCGUAAAGGGUGUGUAGGCGGUUUUCUAAGUUUGGUGUGAAAUCUCCCGGCUUAACCGGGAGGGUGCGCCGAAAACUGGGAGACUAGAGUGCGGGAUGGGAGAGUAGAAUUCCUGGUGUAGCGGUGAAAUGCGUAGAUAUCAGGAGGAAUACCGGUGGUGCAGACGGCUCUCUGGACCGCAACUGACGCUGAGACACGAAAGCGUGGGUAGCAAACAGGAUUAGAUACCCUGGUAGUCCACGCCCUAAACGAUGCAUAUUUGGUGUAGGUCAUUCAGUUGAUCUGUGCCGGAGCUAACGCGUUAAAUAUGCCGCCUGGGGAGUACAGUCGCAAGGCUGAAACUCAAAGGAAUUGACGGGGGCCCGCACAAGCGGUGGAGCAUGUGGUUCAAUUCGACGCAACGCGAAGAACCUUACCUGGGCUCGAACGGCUGGUCAACGGCAUUGGAAACAGUGCUACUCCGCAAGGAGGUCCAGUCGAGGUGCUGCAUGGCUGUCGUCAGCUCGUGUCGUGAGAUGUUGGGUUAAGUCCCGCAACGAGCGCAACCCUUGUCCUGUGUUGCCAUUCCGUAAGGAGGGACUCGCAGGAGACCGCCAGCGAUAAGUUGGAGGAAGGUGGGGAUGACGUCAAGUCCUCAUGGCCUUUAUGUCCAGGGCUACACACGUGCUACAAUGGCCGGUACAAUGCGCAGCUAAGCCGCGAGGUGGAGCCAAUCGCAAAAAACCGGUCUCAGUUCGGAUUGCAGGCUGCAACUCGCCUGCAUGAAGUUGGAAUCG